rnacentral:rRNA from 1 species
AUUGAACGCUGGCGGCAGGCCUAACACAUGCAAGUCGAACGAGUGGCGGACGGGUGAGUAAUGUCUGGGAAACUGCCUGAUGGAGGGGGAUAACUACUGGAAACGGUAGCUAAUACCGCCUACCAUCGGAUGUGCCCAGAUGGGAUUAGCUAGUAGGUGGGGUAAAGGCUAACCUAGGAGACGAUACCUAGCUGGUCUGAGAGGAUGACCAGCAAGACUGGAACUGAGACACGGUCCAGAUUGCUACGGAAGGAAGCAGUGGGGAAUAUUGCACAAUGGGCGCAAGCCUGAUGCAGCAAUGCCGCGUGUAUGAAGAAGGCCUUGGGGUUGUAAAGUACUUUCAGCGGGGAGGCGUUACCCGCAGAAGAAGCCCCGGCUAACUCCGUGCCAGCAGCCGCGGUAAUUC